AGUCGAGCGGCAGCGAGAAGAAACUUGUUUUCUUUGUCGGCGAGCGGCGGACGGGUGAGUAAUGGUUGGGAACCUGGCCUAACGAGGGGGAUAACAGUUGGAAACGACUGCUAAUACCGCAUGACGUCUACGGACCAAAGAAGGGGAUCUUCGGACCUUUCGCGUUAGGAUGGGCCCAAUUGGGAUUAGCUAGUUGGUGAGGUAAUGGCUCACCAAGGCGACGAUCUCUAGCUGGUUUGAGAGGAUGAUCAGCCACACUGGAACUGAGACACGGUCCAGACUCCUACGGGAGGCAGCAGUGGGGAAUAUUGCACAAUGGGCGCAAGCCUGAUGCAGCCAUGCCGCGUGUAUGAAGAAGGCCUUCGGGUUGUAAAGUACUUUCAGCGAGGAGGAAGGUAGCGUAGUUAAUACCUGCGUUAUUUGACGUUACUCGCAGAAGAAGCACCGGCUAACUCCGUGCCAGCAGCCGCGGUAAUACGGAGGGUGCGAGCGUUAAUCGGAAUUACUGGGCGUAAAGCGCAUGCAGGCGGUUUGUUAAGUUAGAUGUGAAAGCCCCGGGCUUAACCUGGGAGUUGCAUUUAAGACUGGCAAGCUAGAGUCUUGUAGAGGGGGGUAGAAUUUCAGGUGUAGCGGUGAAAUGCGUAGAGAUCUGAAGGAAUACCGGUGGCGAAGGCGGCCCCCUGGACAAAGACUGACGCUCAGAUGCGAAAGCGUGGGUAGCAAACAGGAUUAGAUACCCUGGUAGUCCACGCUGUAAACGAUGUCUACUUGGAGGUUGGUGUCUUGAACACUGGCUUUCGAAGCUAACGCGUUAAGUAGACCGCCUGGGGAGUACGGUCGCAAGAUUAAAACUCAAAUGAAUUGACGGGGGCCCGCACAAGCGGUGGAGCAUGUGGUUUAAUUCGAUGCAACGCGAAGAACCUUACCUACUCUUGACAUCCAGAGAAGCCAGCAGAGAUGCAGGUGUGCCUUCGGGAACUCUGAGACAGGUGCUGCAUGGCUGUCGUCAGCUCGUGUUGUGAAAUGUUGGGUUAAGUCCCGCAACGAGCGCAACCCUUAUCCUUGUUUGCCAGCACGUAAAGGUGGGAACUCCAGGGAGACUGCCGGUGAUAAACCGGAGGAAGGUGGGGACGACGUCAAGUCAUCAUGGCCCUUACGAGUAGGGCUACACACGUGCUACAAUGGGGCAUACAGAGGGCAGCAAGACCGCGAGGUGGAGCGAAUCCCAGAAAGUGUCUCGUAGUCCGGAUUGGAGUCUGCAACUCGACUCCAUGAAGUCGGAAUCGCUAGUAAUCGUGGAUCAGAAUGCCACGGUGAAUACGUUCCCGGGCCUUGUACACACCGCCCGUCACACCAUGGGAGUGGGUUGCUCCAGAAGUAGAUAGCUUAACCUUCGGGAGGGCG
rnacentral:rRNA from 1 species